AGGGGACGAAAGCCGCAAGGUUUGACGGUACCUUCCAAGAAAGCACCGGCUAACUCCGUGCCAGCAGCCGCGGUAAUACGGAGGGUGCAAGCGUUGCUCGGAAUUACUGGGCGUAAAGCGUACGCAGGCGGCUUUGUAAGUCGGGUGUGAAAGCCCCAGGCUCAACCUGGGAACUGCAUCCGAUACUGCAAGGCUUGAGUUCGGGAGAGGGAAGUGGAAUUCCUGGUGUAGAGGUGAAAUUCGUUGAUAUCAGGAGGAACACCGGCGGCGAAAAGCGGCUUCCUGGCCCGAUACUGACGCUCAUGUACGAAAGCGUGGGGAGCAAAACAGGAUUAGAUACCCUGGUAGUCCACGCCGUAAACGAUGAGUGCUAGAUGUUGGAGGUAUUCACCCCUUCAGUGUCGAAGCUAACGCAUUAAGCACUCCGCCUGGGGAGUACGGCCGCAAGGUUAAAACUCAAAGGAAUUGACGGGG
rnacentral:rRNA from 1 species